UACGGAGGGGGCUAGCGUUGUUCGGAAUUACUGGGCGUAAAGCGCACGUAGGCGGCUUUGUAAGUUAGAGGUGAAAGCCCAGGGCUUAACCCUGGAAUUGCCUUUAAGACUGCAUCGCUAGAAUCGUGGAGAGGUAAGUGGAAUUCCGAGUGUAGAGGUGAAAUUCGUAGAUAUUCGGAAGAACACCAGUGGCGAAGGCGGACUUGACUGGACACGUAUUGACGCUGAGGUGCGAAAGCGUGGGGAGCAAACAGG
rnacentral:rRNA from 1 species